ACCGGAUCUAGCCCGACGGGGCGAAAAGCGGAAAGCCUUACCGCCUGUUCCGGCCAUUAUUUAAGGC
rnacentral:ncRNA from 1 species